GUAGGCGAGGCCCUUAUAGAAGAUGGCGUGGGAGGCCGCUCGCUGCAGGCAGCCAUAGGAAUUACAGCAGGACGGCAGGCCAACGGAUGGACUGCUGGGCGCCAGAUUUGCCUUGGAUGCACCAAGAGGCCGUCAGUAGCUGUGAUAUUUGCCUGUAAAUAAAGGUUUUGGAGCAGCCAUAGCUUUUGGUUGUGCAGCUUCUACACACACAGAUGAGGCUUCCUGGUGCGGAUUUGUGCGGGCUCGGCUUUCUUCGGCGGCAAAUGCUGCGUCCAUCUCGUCGUCGAGUUCCUUCUCAAGCUGCUGCUGCAGGGACUUCAUCUGCUCUUCGAGAAGCUGCUCUGGAGUAGGCGGAGGGAGUUCGUGCGGUUCAAGCGGAGUCAUUAUGAGCCUUUGUAUGUAUUCAGGUUCAAAACGAAUCUUCUGUGCCAUUUCUAAUCGAUUCAUUUCUCCUCUUCUGAGACAUUGCGCCAUACAAUUAACCCAGAUUAUUGAGGGUCUCUCCUGCGGGAUACCAAGGGCUAUGCAACGCUCUUGUUCAAGGCGUUUCCGUUCGACAAGUGCUUCCUUGGCUUGGGACUCCCGGAGUUGGCGCUGUUGUUCAAUUUCCAGCUGCUCGUGCCUGAUUAAAGUUGGCAGCAGUAGUUGUUGUUGUGCUGCCUGCUGCAGGAGUUGUUGUUGGAGAGGCCGAAAAUUUGGAUGGCGAAAUAGUGAAGCUGCUAGUCUGCCGCUGGCUUUAUCAAAGGUUUCUUCUGCAGAGUCAAUGUUGUGUGCAUCUCGGAUAACUUGAUUUCUUGUGUACCUGCUAGCCUUCACGAUUUUCCGUAGGAGUUGGUUCUGUGCGCUUUCUACCCUGCAAAAUUGUGAUUCGCAUACCAAUG